UCCUGGCUCAGGACGAACGCUGGCGGCGUGCCUAAUACAUGCAAGUCGUACGCUUCUUUUUCCACCGGAGCUUGCUCCACCGGAAAAAGAAGAGUGGCGAACGGGUGAGUAACACGUGGGUAACCUGCCCAUCAGAAGGGGAUAACACUUGGAAACAGGUGCUAAUACCGUAUAACAAUCGAAACCGCAUGGUUUUGAUUUGAAAGGCGCUUUCGGGUGUCGCUGAUGGAUGGACCCGCGGUGCAUUAGCUAGUUGGUGAGGUAACGGCUCACCAAGGCCACGAUGCAUAGCCGACCUGAGAGGGUGAUCGGCCACAUUGGGACUGAGACACGGCCCAAACUCCUACGGGAGGCAGCAGUAGGGAAUCUUCGGCAAUGGACGAAAGUCUGACCGAGCAACGCCGCGUGAGUGAAGAAGGUUUUCGGAUCGUAAAACUCUGUUGUUAGAGAAGAACAAGGAUGAGAGUAACUGUUCGUCGCUUGACGGUAUCUAACCAGAAAGCCACGGCUAACUACGUGCCAGCAGCCGCGGUAAUACGUAGGUGGCAAGCGUUGUCCGGAUUUAUUGGGCGUAAAACCGAGCGCAGGCGGUUUUCUUACAGUCUGAUGUGAAAGCCCCCGGCUCAACCGGGGAGGGUCAUUGGAAACUGGGAGACUUGAGUGCAGAAGAGGAGAGUGGAAUUCCAUGUGUAGCGGUGAAAUGCGUAGAAUAUGGAGGAACACCAGUGGCGAAGGCGGCUCUCUGGUCUGUAACUGACGCUGAGGCUCGAAAGCGUGGGGAGCAAACAGGAUUAGAUACCCUGGUAGUCCACGCCGUAAACGAUGAGUGCUAAGUGUUGGAGGGUUUCCGCCCUUCAGUGCUGCAGCUAACGCAUUAAGCACUCCGCCUGGGGAGUACGACCGCAAGGUUGAAACUCAAAGGAAUUGACGGGGGCCCGCACAAGCGGUGGAGCAUGUGGUUUAAUUCGAAGCAACGCGAAGAACCUUACCAGGUCUUGACAUCCUUUGACCACUCUAGAGAUAGAGCUUCCCCUUCGGGGGCAAAGUGACAGGUGGUGCAUGGUUGUCGUCAGCUCGUGUCGUGAGAUGUUGGGUUAAGUCCCGCAACGAGCGCAACCCUUAUUGUUAGUUGCCAUCAUUUAGUUGGGCACUCUAGCAAGACUGCCGGUGACAAACCGGAGGAAGGUGGGGAUGACGUCAAAUCAUCAUGCCCCUUAUGACCUGGGCUACACACGUGCUACAAUGGGAAGUACAACGAGUCGCGAAGUCGCGAGGCUAAGCUAAUCUCUUAAAGCU
rnacentral:rRNA from 1 species